UAUUAUAAUACCCCUAUGUUUAUCGUUUCUCUUCUUCGUAUUUGCAGGAAAGAAGAAACCUAAUCCCUCUGUGUCGACGGCUUCCUUAUGGUUCUGAUUAUAGCAUUUCGUUGUAGAUAUAUUGGUCCCAAAUUUUGAUUGCAAGGUUGUAUUUUAUCUCCUUGCUCUGAUUUAUUCAAUUGGUGUAUCACGGUGAUGAUCUGUUUAGAUGCUGUGAUUUGGGCCCCUCGUCUUCAAUCCGAUGCUAACUUUGCGUGAACGAAAUUACGCACUGAAUAUGCAUAGCCUCUGGUGGUGUAUCUUUGGUGUGAUGUUGUUCUGUUGUCCAUCAUCUGAUCUUGGCCCUUUAUUUGAGGUGUGAAAAUCCAAGCCUCAGUAGCUAAGCAUGUAGGAUCAGAUGUUGAUAUUGAAGUUGGUUUUGUUUACAAGUUUUCACAUUUUAGGGUGAUUCCAAAUGAUCGUCCACUUCGUUUUAACAACACUAGAUUCAGGCUUUGCUUUGAUGUGGAAACUACUAUUUUCUUAUUUGGGGAUCCUUCCAUUCCUCGUGAGGCAUGGUCGUUUUAUGACACAGCAGAAAUAGAAAGAUGCAGGGGAACCUUCUCACAUUUGAUAGAUUUUAUUGGGUUGCUGUUGGCUGUUUCCCCUGUCAGGCGUAUGGUUCAGUAUGGAAGGAUUAGGAAAAAUGAUGAUUAUUGAGUUGAUAGAUCCAGCUGGUAGGAUUCGCUGUGUACUGCUUGGGAGAUGGUUGACUUACUCAUGCUACAACUGUCCUCAAAUUGGGUCAAUAGGCCAAUUCUAACCUUGCAGUAUUUUCAGGCUAAAUAUAUUAGAGACAGAGUGAUCAUUCAAAAUGUGAAUCAUUUUUCAAAGCUAUAUAUCAAUUCUGGCUUUGAAGUUGUUUCUGCAUUUACUCGAAGGUUUUU